rnacentral:rRNA from 1 species
UGGGGAAUAUUGCACAAUGGGCGCAAGCCUGAUGCAGCCAUGCCGCGUGUGUGAAGAAGGCCUUCGGGUUGUAAAGCACUUUCAGCGAGGAGGAAGGUGGUGAGCUUAAUACGCUCAUCAAUUGACGUUACUCGCAGAAGAAGCACCGGCUAACUCCGUGCCAGCAGCCGCGGUAAUACGGAGGGUGCAAGCGUUAAUCGGAAUUACUGGGCGUAAAGCGCACGCAGGCGGUUUGUUAAGUCAGAUGUGAAAUCCCCGGGCUCAACCUGGGAACUGCAUUUGAAACUGGCAAGCUAGAGUCUCGUAGAGGGGGGUAGAAUUCCAGGUGUAGCGGUGAAAUGCGUAGAGAUCUGGAGGAAUACCGGUGGCGAAGGCGGCCCCCUGGACGAAGACUGACGCUCAGGUGCGAAAGGCGUGGGGCAGCAAACAGGAUUAGAUACCCUGGUAGUCCACGCUGUAAAACGAUGUCGAUUUUGGAGGUUGUGCCCUUGAGGCGUGGCUUCCGGAGCUAACGCGUUAAAUCGACCGCCUGGGGAGUACGGCCGCAAGGUUAAAACUCAAAUGAAUUGAC